rnacentral:lncRNA from 1 species
UUCUUCUUCUUCUUCUCCUUCUCCUUCUUGUCCUUCUCCUUCUCCUUCUUAUCCUUCUCCUUCUCCUUCUUAUCCUUCUCCCUCUUCUUUUUAUCCUUCUUCUUCUUCUUCUUCUACUUAUCCUUCUUCUUCUUCUUCUUCUUCUUCUUCUUAUUCUUCUUCUCCUUCUCCUUCUCCUUCUUCUAGAGAGAUAAUAAUUGAGAGGAGUUUUGGAAAUUCUUUUAGGAUUUUGAGAGAAUGACUUAAUUUGGGGAUUUUGGGGGGUUAGA